AGCGAACGCUGGCGGCAGGCCUAACACAUGCAAGUCGAGCGCCCAGCAAUGGGAGCGGCAGACGGGAUAGUAACACGUGGGAACGUACCUUUCAGUUCGGAACAACCCAGGGAAACUUGGGCUAAUACCGAAUACGUCCGUAAGGAGAAAGAUUUAUCGCUGAAAGAUCGGCCCGCGUCUGAUUAGCUAGUUGGUGAGGUAAUGGCUCACCAAGGCGACGAUCAGUAGCNGGUCUGAGAGGAUGAUCAGCAUCACUGGGACUGAGACACGGCCCAGACUCCUACGGGAGGCAGCAGUGGGGAAUAUUGGACAAUGGGCGCAAGCCUGAUCCAGCCAUGCCGCGU
rnacentral:rRNA from 1 species